rnacentral:rRNA from 1 species
GUUAGGAAUAUUCGUCAAUGGGGGAAACCCUGAACGAGCGAUGCCGCGUGAAUGAUGACAGCCCUUCGGGUUGUAAAAUUCUGUUGUUUGGAAAGAACAGAGAGAUUAGGAAAUGAGUCUCUUUUGACGGUACCAUUCAAGAAAGCUCCGGCUAACUACGUGCCAGCAGCCGCGGUAAUACGUAGGGAGCGAGCGUUAUCCGGAUUUAUUGGGCGUAAAGCGUGCGCAGCUGGCUUAUUAAGUAUGAAAUUAAAGCCCGGGGCUUAACUCCGGUUCGUGUCGUAAACUGGUAGGCUUGAGUGUGGGAGAGGUAAGUGGAAUUUCUAGUGUAGCGGUAAAAUGCGUAGAUAUUAGAAGGAACCUCAGUGGCGAAGGUGACUUACUGGGCCAUCACUGACAGUCAUGCGCGAAAGCGUGGGGAGCGAAUAGGAUUAGAAACCCCAGUAGUCC